rnacentral:rRNA from 1 species
GAUGAACGCUAGCUACAGGCUUAACACAUGCAAGUCGCAGGGUAACGUGAGGGAAGCUUGCUUCCCUUGACGACGACUGGCGCACGGGUGAGUAACGCGUAUCCAACCUUCCCAUGACCACGGGAUAACCCGUUGAAAGACGGACUAAUACCGUAUGACGUCGUUUGCUGACAUCAAAUAACGAUUAAAGGUUUGGCGGUGAUGGAUGGGGAUGCGUCUGAUUAGCUUGUUGGCGGGGUAACGGCCCACCAAGGCGACGAUCAGUAGGGGUUCUGAGAGGAAGGUCCCCCACAUUGGAACUGAGACACGGUCCAAACUCCUACGGGAGGCAGCAGUGAGGAAUAUUGGUCAAUGGGCGAGAGCCUGAACCAGCCAAGUAGCGUGCAGGAUGACGGCCCUAUGGGUUGUAAACUGCUUUUAUGCGGGGAUAAAGUGCGCGACGUGUCGCGCAUUGCAGGUACCGCAUGAAUAAGGACCGGCUAAUUCCGUGCCAGCAGCCGCGGUAAUACGGAAGGUCCGGGCGUUAUCCGGAUUUAUUGGGUUUAAAGGGAGCGUAGGCCGCCAGGUAAGCGUGUUGUGAAAUGUACCGGCUCAACCGGUGAAUCGCAGCGCGAACUGUCUGGCUUGAGUGCACGGUAAGCAGGCGGAAUUCAUGGUGUAGCGGUGAAAUGCUUAGAUAUCAUGAAGAACUCCGAUUGCGAAGGCAGCUUGCUGCAGUGCGACUGACGCUGAUGCUCGAAGGUGCGGGUAUCAAACAGGAUUAGAUACCCUGGUAGUCCGCACGGUAAACGAUGGAUGCCCGCUGUCCGCCCCUUUGUGGCGGGUGGCCAAGCGAAAGCGUUAAGCAUCCCACCUGGGGAGUACGCCGGCAACGGUGAAACUCAAAGGAAUUGACGGGGGCCCGCACAAGCGGAGGAACAUGUGGUUUAAUUCGAUGAUACGCGAGGAACCUUACCCGGGCUUGAACCAAGGGUGACGAGUGCAGAGAUGCGCUUUUUCUUCGGACACUUUUGGAGGUGCUGCAUGGUUGUCGUCAGCUCGUGCCGUGAGGUGUCGGCUUAAGUGCCAUAACGAGCGCAACCCUUUUCUACGUUUGCCAUCGGGUAAUGCCGGGAACUCCGUGGAUACUGCCGCCGCAAGGCGGAGGAAGGUGGGGAUGACGUCAAAUCAGCACGGCCCUUACGUCCGGGGCUACACACGUGUUACAAUGGUCGGAGCAGCAGGAAGCUACCUGGCGACAGGAUGCUGAUCCCGAAACCCGGCCUCAGUUCGGACUGGAGUCUGCAACCCGACUCCACGAAGCCGGAUUCGCUAGUAAUCGCGCAUCAGCCAUGGCGCGGUGAAUACGUUCCCGGGCCU